GCCCAGGUUCUUAGGAGCCAGCAGUAGGGAAUAUUGGACAAUCUACGAAAGUGGGAUCCAGUAAGAAUUCGUGAGGGAAGAAGAUCUUUGAUUGUAAACCUCUUUCACUAGGGAAGAUUAUGACGUUACCUAGAGAAGAAGCGCCAGCCAAUCGCGUGCCAGCAGCUGCGGUAAUACGUGAGGCGCAAGGAUUGUCCUUCAUAAUUGGGUGUAAAGCAGGAUUAGGUGAUUAGUACAUCUUUCAUAUGGACCAAGCGCGUAACGUGAGGAGCUAUAUGGGAAAGAAACUAAAUAAGAGAAUAUAUGACGUUGAUAGUGGAACGGCGGGGGGAAUGGUGCAAUAUACGGAUCUCCACCGGAAGACCAAUGGCGAAAAGCAACCAACAACUAUAUUCUGCCACUCAACCUGUAACCUGAGGUAGCGAACUGGAUUAGAGACCCAGGUAGUCUCAGGCGUAAACGAUGAAUGCUAUUUUUUCUAGACAAAAGAUUCUAGAUUAAAUCAGUUCACGCGGAAAGCAUUCCACCUAGAGAGUACGUCCGCAAGGAUGAAAACUAAAUAGAAUUGGCGGAUCCAUAAACAACCAGAGGAGCAUGCAACUUAAUUUGAUAAUACGCAACAAACCUUACCUAAGCUUGCAUUUUUACUAAUUUACCAACAAUAAUUUGAGGGUAAUUCUUUAUGCUUUAAGCAAUAAGACAAUGUAUUAACACGUUUUGCAUGACCGUAUUCAGCUCGAUGUCGUGAGAUGUAAGGUUCAGUCCUAGAACGAGCGCAACCCAUGCUUUUUGUUCCCUUUAUAAGUAUUAAGUUUAAAAUUUAUAAAGAGGUCUCAAAAAGGACAACCGUGUAUAAAACGGAGGAAGUAUGGACGACUACAGGUCACCAUGAACGUUAUGCUUAGGGCUGUAAGCGUGCUACAAUCAGACGUACAAAGGGAAGUUAUUCAGAAAUGAUGAACGAAUCCUGAAAACGUCUUGUUAAUGAGGAUAGAAGGCUGCAACCCGCCUUCUUGAAUCCGGAUUUGGCAGUAAUCGUGGAGCAGAGUGCCACGGUGAACAGGAAUCUAUGGAUUGCACAUAUCGCCCAACACAUCUUCUUAAUGACCCUUAUUAAAGGUUCUUUUUCAAAAGAAAGUUUGUCUCUCAAGAGGAGUUUUCUCAUGAAUGUGCUCAAAUAAGGAUGUCGU
rnacentral:rRNA from 1 species